rnacentral:piRNA from 1 species
UGAUGUUUUGAGGCUGUCUAUGAACACUUU